AGUAGCCGCGGGAAUACGGAAGGUCCAGGUGUUAUCCGGAUUUAUUGGGUUUGAAGGGAGCGUAGGCCGCAGGUUAAGUGUGUUGUGAAAAGCAGUCGCCCAACGUCUGCCUCGCAGCGCAAACUGUCCUGCUUGAGUGCGCACAACGCAGGCGGAAUUCGUCGUGUAGCGGUGAAAUGCUUAGAUAUGACGAAGAACUCCGAUUGCGAAGGCAGCUUGCGGGAGCGCAACUGACGCUGAAGCUCGAAAGUGCGGGUAUCGAACAGGAUUAGAUACCCCAGUAGUCCCUGUCUCUUAUACA
rnacentral:rRNA from 1 species